AAGCCUCUCUCUCACUUCCUCUCUCUUGCUCAGGAGAACUGUGAGAACUAACUGUUGAUCUGAAAGCAACCAUGAUUUGCUACAGAGGUGCGAGCUUGCACAGAGACCUGUGAAAUCCCACAGAACACAGGAAGUGUCUAAUUCCGCUGGAUCGGGCUGGUGUCAAGGCAGCUGACAGCUUCAGAGCCAAGAGCCUCCAGAAUCCUUUUUGGUAAGGAAUGUCAGCUACAAGGGGAAUCCCUACCUCACCAUCUACACAGAGUUCAAAGGAAAUGCAGAUUUAAUCAUUUGGUUUCUGUGUGACUUUCAAGUCAAAGUGAAACUAGAAUGUGAAUAUCAGAGCGUGUGAACCUUUUUGGUACGAAGCCUGGGUUCCCCUCUUACUGCUGCGGUGUGUAGAGGAUUGUGCAAUGUAAUAGCAGCAUCCAAGAUACACAGGGUCUCUGCUUCGACUCUCAAGAUGACUGCUGAUGCUCGGAGCUGAGCUGCAGAGUGCAGCAGCUCAUUGUUUGGGCCAGGAGUGUGCACGUGAAAAAUGACUCGCCGCACACUCUGCUUCCAUUCUGGUGCUCCGGGAAUGGAUUGACUUCAAAGAACUCUUUAAAAAUUAAAGUUAGGGGGACUGGAGAGAUGGCUCACUGGUUGAGAUUACUGACCGCUCUUCCAGAGGAGCCAGGUUCAAUUCCCAGCACCUAUAUGGCAGUUCAUAACUGUCUGUAACUCCAAGAUCUGACACCCUGAUGCAGACAUACAUGCAAACAAAACACCAAUGCACAUGAAAUAAAACUAAACUUAGAAUGCCACCUAGCAGUAGUGAAACUAAGUUCAAUCCCCAGAGCCAUUAAAUAAAUAUAAUGCAUGUAUAUGCAUAUAUACAUAUACAUAAUCUAUUUAUAAUUUAUAUUUCUCCAUUGGUGAACAAAAGUUAGAAUACAUGUUCAUUGUUAAAAAUAAGAAACAGAACACGGGUGAUGACCAACCUAAACAUCACCAGUGUGGUCUUACACAAAUAGGUUCCCUUUUCUUAUUUCAUUUAGAAACCCACUAAGCAAUUGGUGUAAUACUCCAUUUAGAGCAAGAACACCACAGAGUUGUCUCUGAUAUCCACAUAAAUGCUAUGACAUGCUUGCCUCCCUAUAUACACACAUCAUGUAUGUGUGUGUGUAAACACAUACACACACACACACACACACACACACACACACAGAGAGAGAGAGAGAGAGAGAGAGAGAGAGAGAGAGAGAGAGAGAGAUAUUAAAAAUAAAUCUAGUACCAGAACCUGAGUUUGAUCCCCCAAACCAUGUAAAAAAAAAAUCCAACCAUGUGAUGUAUGCUUGUAAUUCUAGCUCAGGGGAGGGAGAGCCAGGCAGACAGAUCCCUUUGUCUGAAGAAAGAAAGUGGAUGUCUCCAUGGAAGGACACCUGAAGUUAACCUCUGACCCCCACAGGCAUGCACAUGCAUAUGAACAUGUACCCACACACAUGAACAUACACAGGAAAACACUUCUCUUACGCCAUGCAUACCAUAAUUUGUAUAAAAUUCCACCAUAAAGGAGAGCUGGUUUCAGCUUCCUUUAUUAUAAACUAUACUGCAGCAACUAUAUGUGAAUACACAUUUUUUUCUGUUUAGCAUCAAUUUCGUACUAUUAAAUUUUCAAAAAAUUGAAAUUAAGACC
rnacentral:lncRNA from 1 species